AGAAGAGGCGGAGCCUAUCUCUCAUCAGGACCAGUCUGACUGCACCUGCAUCCUUAGCUCAGAGCAUCCCUGGAGCAUCUAAGAGGAAAGCGCAGCUAGCAACCAGGGAUCGUACUGCAGGGGCAAUCGGUCAUGCACCUUCCCCUCCCCUGAUCUGGAGGUCUACAGCCGCGGCCUCGGUACUGACCGAGAUUCCCAAAGUUGUCUGACCUCUGCAAAAGUGUUUCUAUCAACAGCCUCUGAUUACAACAUGGCUGAGAUCACAAAUAUACGCCCCAGCUUUGGGGUGUGCUGGAGAGCUUCGCGUACCUACAAGGAAUACUUGCACUGGUCAGCAUCCUUCUGUGGGCCUGCAAUCCUAACCGACAAGGGCACAGAAGGCAGCUGUGCUCACACGGCUCUGAGAGCUCCCUUCACAGGCACUCCUCUGACCCAAGGAGUAACAACACACAGAACAAGCAGCAAGGCACAACUCCUUUCCUCGGAGGGGCAACUGGACAGCCUUUAACCCUUUAAAAACCAGGGACUGAUUUUCACGGGUUCUGACUUCAGCACUGCAUCAUCCAGGUAAGGCAUAUGGAUAUGAAUUCUAAGACACGUCAUACCAAGGUACAGAAUACACAAACUUAGAAUGUUACUAAAACAAUAACAGAAGGAAAAAGUCAUGCCUACCCCUCGGAGGGCCUCCCUUUGCUGAGUUAACUAAGGAGGAAGCGGCACAGUGUGCCUAGACACGCAAGACCGAGGUUCGCUCCUGAGCCCAGCUCUCCCAGCCUGCACACCCUGAGUGCUCAGUGAAGGUCCUAUGUCAGCCCAAUCUGGGAAGUCACAACUUGCCAUUGAGGGGGGCAAUAGCCUAAUCUCUGCGUGAAAGAGAGGUGAGAUGAGUGAGGGUAGGGGCACCGAUGACCAAGCCACACGUCUCCUGCCGGUUGUUAGAGAACGCAGCGGCAGACACAAAGUCUACUGUGCACCUAGAGAAAAGACUUAGUUUUUGGUUGUGCUGGGGCUGACCCAGCCUUGCCCAUGCUAGAAUGCUAGACAAGUACUCUGCUGCUAAGCUACCUCCACCCCCACCCCCAGCCCCAAUCAUGUUUAAAGCUUCUUCCUCCAAAGCAGCAGCUACAAAUGCGCAGACUGACAGGAAUGGCAGCAGUUGCCUACCCUGGUGAGAUAAGCCUGUGCGAACGCCAGGUCCUUCUGCUCCCUGAGUGGGUCCCGGUCGAGAAUGUCCUCAUCAUACAGCAACAGCAGCUUGGAGGUGUCCUUGCUGGCCCGAGCCCGACUUCCCCGUUUGUUUCGAGCCCGAUGACUGCUCCGUCCCUUUCCAGCAGCUUUGAUGCUCUCCCCUUGGAGUAGUGAAAAAGAUUCCUUCUCAAUCCCUGAAACUGUGCUAUCCAGCGUAAAGGCCACCCCGUGCACUCCGACUAAUAUCACGGCACAGCUAGGGAAGAAUAGCUAGGUCAGCAGCAGAGCCAGCCUCCAGGACAGCACCAGCACUGCGCAGUGCACCACACGCCCUUCAACAGUGUCCGGGACGCAAGCUGACCAGGAGUUCUGCAGCUGAGAAAGGAGUCCAAGGCUGGGAAGGGGGAGAGGUGGCCUAACAGAAAUACCACCUGAGCUACCUAAAAACGACAGAAGAGAAGUUGAAGGAGGAACAUGAAGGCCAAACAGCUCUUAGCCUCAGGCACACAAGAGGCAAGCCUCAGGCACACAAGAGGCAAGAACCACGGAAAAAACACAGGGCAACCUAGUGUAAACCGGGUGUUGAUGAGGAUUUAAGGCUCUGCAGAGGGGCGGUUCUCGUCUGUCUGGGGAAGGAAGAGAAGCUCCAGGUGACAAAGCGCACUCUGCACUCUGUCUCUGGGCAAUGCAGCUUGGAGAGCUGCUGCACUUACCUGCGGGGGCUAUGCUGGUCUCUAUUUCUGGAGCAGUCUGAGGUGAGGCCAAGGUAGAAGGGGGUUUCUUGGCAGCAUCUCCAACGGCUUCAUCGUUCACUUCAUCCUCUUUUUGCAAGGUUUCCAUUCCUUCUGCCUCUUCUUCCUCCUCUUCUUCUGGCUCAGAGUUCUCCUCCUGGGAGUUCUCUUCCUCAGACUCACCCUCCUGACUCAUCCUCCUUUCAGAUGCCAGCCAAGUCAGUUUCUCCAUUGUUUCCUAAAAGCACCAUUUUGUUGAGGUUUUGUCUGCUGCUAUGCAUGGAAUGAUAAAAUGUGUACCAGAAGGUCUACUUAUGAGUGAUUUCUCCUGCAUGCCAUCUUUUGUUGUGCAAACCUUGUUCCUUAAUUUAAAGAUACUGGUUGAAUAAAAAUGGCUACAACCAUUAGCAGAGGGAUUAGACAUGGGCAGGCUUUUUAGUUACCUGCUGGUGCAUGGCAGAAAAGCCAAGACAAAGAAAAUGAGGAAGAGGAGAGAGGAGCGGAACCAUGAGCACACGGCCAAGAGAAACAGCAAGUCUUUGGGGAACACCGCGGGGCAGGCAGCCAGGCCAGCAGGUAGGAAAGUAGAUUGGGGGGGACCCCAGUAAUUAUCAAAGCCAAAUACACUAAACAAAGUCUGGGUCUCACUCUUUUGUAAGGAAGUCAGGAUUGGAUUAAACUGGUUGUACUACACCGAAAAUGUUUCCAAGGGCUCCUUGCAGCUCCCAGAAGCUGAAGUACAGCAGCAGCAGCAUAAGGCACAGAGGCAGAGCAGGGCCAACACUGAGAACCAGAGAAGCCUGAGGUCCUGAGGACAGCUUUGCUUAGCAACUUUUUUAAGUACACGUGCUACAUUGCUUUGCUUUGGUUCGGUUCGGUUCGGUUCGCUUCGGUUUGGUUUGGUUUUUCAAGACAAGAUUACUUUGGCUGUCCUGGAACUCACUCUUUGGUUUGGUUUGGUUUGGUUUGGUUUGGUUUGGUUUGGUUUUUCAAGACAAGAUUACUUUGGCUGUCCUGGAACUCACUCUAAAGACCAGGCUGGCCUGGAACAGAGAUCUGCCUGCCUUUGCCUCACAAGUGCUGGGACUUGAUGUGCAACACCAUACCCGACAGUACACUAGCUCUACUGUUUAGCUAUUCCUCAAUUCUUAUGACUAUUUAAAAUUAUUUUUAAUUAUUACUGUAUAAUUUUAAAGUUUUGCCUGUGUGUAGAUCUGUGCACCACAUGCCUGCAAAAGGCAUCAAAUUCCCUUCAACGGAGUUACUAUGGGUCGUGAGCAGCCAUGUGGGUGCUGAGACUUAAGCCUACAUGUGCUGGAAGAACAAGUGACCCUAACUGAAGAACCAUCUCUCCGGGAUUUAUGGGCUAUUCUUUUUAAAGUCACACUUGCUGAUGGCUGUGCUGUGUACAAGCCCCGAGGAACAUGUAUGCCAUGGCACUCGGGACGGGUCCCUGGAAAAUUCAUGAUAGUCAGUCUCUUUAUUACGAUGUGCUACUUGAGUGAGCAACAGAUAACCUCACCCGUAGCCUCGUUGCCAUGAAGGGUUUUUGCUUGCUUCUUUAUUUGUUUUUGUGGCAUGUAAUGUAUGUUCUAGGCAGUCAGUGAGGCGACUCAACAGGUAUAGACACCUGCUGUCCAGUCUGACCACAGAGCUCAGCUCCUGGGACCCACAUGAUGGAAGGAAAUAGCCACGUGUCCUGGUCCUCUGACCUCUGCAUAUGUCAUCGCAAGGACUCACCUACAAAUUAAUGAAUGGCAUAAAACAUUU
rnacentral:lncRNA from 1 species